rnacentral:rRNA from 1 species
CAGCAGCCGCGGGGAAUACCGAGGGUGCGAGCGUUAAUCGGAUUUACUGGGCGUAAAGCGUGCGUAGGCGGCUUUUUAAGUCGGAUGUGAAAUCCCUGAGCUUAACUUAGGAAUUGCAUUCGAUACUGGGAAGCUAGAGUAUGGGAGAGGAUGGUAGAAUUCCAGGUGUAGCGGUGAAAUGCGUAGAGAUCUGGAGGAAUACCGAUGGCGAAGGCAGCCAUCUGGCCUAAUACUGACGCUGAGGUACGAAAGCAUGGGGAGCAAACAGGAUUAGAUACCCGGGUAGUCCCUGUCUCUUAUA